rnacentral:lncRNA from 1 species
ACACGGGAGGCUCUCUCUCUCACUCAUUCUCUCCAUCAUCUCUCUCACUCACGCAUCUCCUCUCCUCUCUCUCUCUACCGAUCUAUCUCCACCGAUCUCCAUCGAGAAACGCCGCCGUCUAUCUCCAUCGAUCUCCAUCGACGUUGCCGUCUAUCUCCACUGCCUUCAUCUCCAUCGACGUCGCCGUCUAUCUCCACUGCCUUCAUCUCCAUCGACGUCGCCGUCUAUCUCCACUGCCUUCAUCUCCAUUGAUGUCGCCGCCUUCAUCUCCAUCGCCGCCGCCGUCUAUCUCCACCGCCGCCUUAAUCCUUAGGUUGCUGGUUCAAAUCCGGCAGUGGUUGUGGGUGGAUGUUGCAGAUCUAGGGUUCCAGACUUCCAGGCGUGGUAGAUCUAGGGUUCCAGGUGGCUUGGGGC